UCAAAUUCCUCGCCCCAAGUGACCCACCUGCCUCAGCCUCCCACAGUGCUGGAAUUACAGGGGUGAGCCACUGCUUUCAGCCCUUAUGUUCCUCUUAUAGUCACACCCUUUCUCUACCCCAAUCAUGGCAAGCACUGAUCUGGUUCUAUACUUUUACUUUUUACAAAAUAUCAUAGAAAUGCAAAUGUAAAGGAUGUGACCUUUUUUUUAAAUUAAACUUUUUAUUUGGGGAUAAUUGUAGCUUCUCAUGCGGUUGUGAGGAAUAAUACAGAGGGAUCCUCGGUACUCCGGCCAGUUCCCUCAAGGGUAGCACCUUGCAGCUACAGUAACGGAUCACAGCCAGGAUAUCCACACUGAUACAGCCAGAACGGAAAGUUCCCUCCCAAACAGCCCUCAUGCUGCCCUUUCACAGAAACACCCACUUCCCACUGUCCCAAACCCCUCCUUAGCCCCUGGCAACUACUAAUUUGGUCUCCACUUGUAUAAUUUUGUCAUUUCAAGAAUGUUCUGCACAUGGAAUCAUAUAGUAUGUGACUUCUGGGGACUGGCUUUCUCCCACUCAGCAUAGUUUUCUGGGUUUUCCUCCAGGCGGCUCGGUUACAACGUUGUUUGUUCCUUUUUAAUGCUGAGUAGGAGUCUAAGUAUGUAACCUUCUGAGUCUGGCUUCCUGAGUUCAGUGUAACAAUGUUGCAAUUCAUCCCAGUUGCCUUAUGGAUCAAUAGUUUGUUCCCUAUUAUUGCUGAGCCUGAUUCCAUUUAUGAAGGUCUCACAAUGUGUUUAGCCAUUCACCAGUUGAAUGACAAUUGGGUUGUUUCCACACGUGUGUGUGUGUGUGUGUGUGUGUGUGUGGUGGGUCAAACCAGAUGUUUCUGCUUCUUACCAAUGGUGAAUAAAACCAGUAUAAAUAUUUGCAUACAAAUUUUUGUUUGAACAUAAGUUAUCAUUCAAUUUAGAUAAAAACCUAUGAGUAGGGUUUGCUUGAUAUGCAUAAACACGUUUAUUAGAAAUUGCCAAAUGGUUUUCAGAGAGGAGGCUGCUGGGGGUGGGGACAUAGGGGUACAGGAGGGUUCGGUUAAUGAAGCUUCUGCCAGCCCAGUUGGAAAAUAGGCCUGUGUCCCAGCACUGAGGUGCCCAAAUCCCUUGCCCAGACCUGAGCUAGCAGGGUCUCAAGAUCACAGUCAGUCAAGAGUCAGAAGCGGCAUCUUCUGCUCCAGAAGCUUCUGUUCCUGUGGGCCCUGCCCCCUCCUCAGGGCUCCACAGGAGCUGUUCAAUACGCUGGGUGCUGUGCAAACUGUAGGGCACAGCCAGACACUUGGAGCUCAGAGGGACCCAGGGUGGGCAGGAUUGGCCGAAGCUGGAAGUGGGUCCCUGCAGGUCACACCCCACCUGCUGCCUCCAGACCUUGGACAUUUCAUGGGGGCUGGGCCAGUUACAGGGAGGGAAAGGGAAAUGGGGACCCUUCUGAUUGCUGCCCUGGGACCCUAAGAUCUUGGGUAGUGACAAGGAACCUGGAAGCACAGCUGUCCCCAAGAGGCCUUCCUGGGUCCCUCCUCCAUGGACAGGACUUCAGACUGGACAGUCACUCAUCCGUUUUUCCAUCAGUCUGUCCAUCCAUGUAUCUGUCCAUGCACACACACCCCCAUCCUUCCUCAAGCCCCCUGAGGCCUCCUGGGGCCUGAGCUAUAUAGACCCUCAGCUCCUGAUGUCCCAGGCAAGGCAGGAUUGGCCUCGCAAAGCCCCGGUGAGACCUGAAGUGUGCCUGCUCAUGCACUGUGGGAGAAGGGGGCUGUGGCACUGGGGUCCCCUGGGAGUACUUGUCCCUGCCCAGCCCAGAGCUCAGGUUGCAAGUGAGACCCUCUGUGAAGAAGACAAGGGGCAGGGGAUACUGGGAAUUCCACAUCAGCAAAGGUGGCCUGGUGGCAGUGGCAACCUCAAACAGGCCUGGGAGCUGGAACCAGGGCUGGAGGGCAGAGGGAGGAAGGGCAUGCUGGAAGAUGGGUAUGAGCAAAGGCACAGGAGUGACCUUAGUGGCCCUUUUGUCAACAGGGAUAUGGCAGUUACAUAUGGGCCCCCAUGGAACCAUCCUGAAGGAUCAUCUCAGAGACCCUAGAACCUGUCCACCAUGCCACCUGCCCUGGCACCCUGCCCACCACCCAGAAAUUCCUUCUAUUCUGCCACAUGGCUGGGCCCUGCACUGGGCCAGGACUUCAUGGGCGAAGAGGACAAGGGAGGGAGGGAAUCUGGGCCCUGCAUGGGACACAGGCAGUGACCACCUGGUAAAGAAGACUAUGGUCUCGAUUUCCUGACCUGGUGAUCUGCCUGCCUCGGCCCCCCAAAGUGUUGGGAUUACAGGCAUCGACCGCUGCAUGUGACUUACAACUUUUUUCCAUAGCGUGUAUCCUAAUUUAUCUUUACAGCAAUAGUGUAUAAGAUUUCCCCUUUAUCCAAAUCCACACCAGCAUUCCUUUUAAUUUUUAAGAUAAUUUCAGUAACAUGCAUCUAGUAGGUGUGGGAUGGUAUCUGAAUGUGGUUUUGGAGUACAUUCUCUUCUGAUGCGUAGUAAUGGUGAGGACCUUUUUUCUCUUAUGUGUUUGUGCAUUUUAUGUCAUUUAUGCAGUGAUGUCUGUUGAGGUUUUUUGCCCAAUUUUAGUUUGGAUACGUAUUUUUCAUGCUUUAUUUUUUUUUCUUCGGUGUACAUGUUUGUUAACAACCAGUUAUCACUUCUAUGAUUCCCUCAUAUUUUCUCACAAUCUUUUUCUUUUUUGAGACUGGUCACUCUCACCCAAGCUGGAUCACAGUGGCACAUCACAGAACCAUGUAGAUUGGAAUAUUGGCUACCUACAGCUUUGCAACACAAUCUGACAUCAGGAAUUGUUUAUCCGUGUUGCCACAAAGGACAUUAUGUCAUCAAUCUUUGUUGAUGGGGCGUAUUUUGUUGUGUCUGUAUACUGAAGUUCCUUCACUCCUUCAUCAGUUGAUGGACAGGUUUCUCCAAGUGGUUGCAGAUGACAUGAUUUCCUGAAGUGUUACAGCUGAAGUGUGUUUCCUUGUGUAUAUAUACUGUGGUUCCUUUAUCCCUUCAUCUGUGGAUAGACAGGUGCAACCGUGUGGUUCCCCACGAUGUGAUGUCAUUGUGAUUUUCUGUCUGAAGAGUAUCCCAGUGUGUACAUGUGGAGCAACUUCUUUCUCCCUUCAUUUGUGGAUAAGCAGGUAGGUUGAUGCUUACACUGGCUCUUGGGAACAGUGCUGGAAUCCACAUGGGUGGGUAGAUCUAUCUUUGGUGUCCUGAUUUCAAUGACUUUGAGUGUAUUCCUAGUAGUAGAAUUGCUGGUUGAAAUGAUAGUUGGAGUCUUUUAAGGUUGGGAGGAACCUCCAAGUGGUUUCUGUAGCGUGUGUGCUAGUUUACCUUCUCACGAACUGUGGAGAAGAGUGUCUCUCUCUCUCUGGAAACACAACAGCAUUUCCCUUUCUUUCAAUGUUUUUUGUCUUCUUUUGUAACACUCAUUCCAAUUAGAAUGAGAUGGUGUCUAAGUGUGGUUUUGAUUUACAUUUUGCUUGUGGUUAGUGAUGUUUGCCAGGUUAUUGUGAACUUGUUUCAAUUUGUUGUGUAAGACUGGGCAAAGGACCUGAAGACCUGAGAUGGAUGCACAGGUUAAAGAUUCUGAAUCAACAUUACUGAUCCUCACGAGAAGUCAAUCAAAACCACACUGAGAUAGCAUCUGUCUCUGGUGAGAAUGAAUAUUACCAAAAUGGGACAGCAGUUUCAUUGUUGUAUAGUCUGUGUGUAUAACCAGCGAGUGCAAGGCACAGUUUGAUCAGUGUAAACGUAGCAUCAUCAUGAAGUCGCAGUGUCUGGCAUCUCUGUGAGCUCCAGACUUAUGAUUUCUCUGUGGAGAGAAUAUUCACAACUGACCUUUGUAGCUGUUUUGAAAAUUGUGGUUUUCUGUUGUUGCCUUUUGGCAUAAUAGCCUACGGCUCUGUCCAGGUUUCUGGUAAGGGCAUGGAUUUGUUUUUUAUGGCUAUGUAGUGUUCAGUGCCAUGUCUUUACUAUUGUGAGUAGUACUUCCGUGAACAUACGAGUGCAUGCGUGUUUUCGAUGGAAGGGUUUUCCUUUGGGUAGAUACUUAGGAGUGGGGUUGCAGCACUGGGUGGUAGUUCUCUUUUAAGUUCUUUCAGAAAUGUCCACACUGCUCUCCAGGAUGUCUGAGCUAGUUUGCAUUUCCCCCUACAGUGGACCUGCAUCUUUUUGCUAGUCUGCUCCACCAGCCUCUGUUGUUGUGGACUGUGUGUCAUAAUUGCCAUUCUGACUAUUGUGCGACGUGGUAUCGCAGUAUGUUUUUGAUGUGCAUUUCUCUGAUGAUCAGUGAGAUUGAGCAUCUUUUCAUUCUCAUUAGUUACUGGUACACCUCCUUUUAAGUGUGUGUUCAUGUCCCUUGCCCAUUUAUAAUUUGGGUUUUUUUUUUUCUGAUUUUAUUUGUUGAAGGUCUUUACGAUAAAUCCUGGAUAUUAGAUGUUUUUCACAUGCGUAGUUGUGGAAUAUUUUCCCUCAUUCUAUAGGCUAUGUGUUGACUCUGUUGGUUGUUUCUUGUUCUGUGCAGCUGCUUUUUUGUGUAUUAGGUCCCGUUUAUCAGUAAUUGCUUUUGGGGAGUUGACAUUUAAAUGCUUUGCCAAAGCCUCUGUUGAGAAUGGUAUUUGCUAGAUUCUCAUGCAGGAUUUUCUCAUAGUUUCAGGCUUUGAAUUUUUAUGUAUUUAUCUAUUUAGAGACUGAGUCUCGCUCUGUUGUACAGGCUG